rnacentral:rRNA from 1 species
GCUCCUACCGAUUGAAUGACUCGGUGAAAUCAUUGGAUCAUUUUUAUAAAUGAAAAGGUGAUUAAAUCACGUUAUUUAGAGGAAGGAGAAGUCGUAACAAGGU